rnacentral:rRNA from 1 species
CACGUAGGCGGUUGGGUAAGUCGGAUGUGAAAGCCCUGGGCUUAACCUGGGAACUGCAUUCGAUACUGUCCGGCUAGAGUAUGGGAGAGGGAAGCGGAAUUUCCGGUGUAGCGGUGAAAUGCGUAGAUAUCGGAAGGAACACCAAUGGCGAAGGCAGCUUCCUGGCCCAAUACUGACGCUCAGGUGCGAAAGCGUGGGGAUCAAACA